ACAGCCAGGAUGUUGGCUUAGAAGCAGCCAUCAUUUAAAGAAAGCGUAAUAGCUCACUGGUCGAGUCGGCCUGCGCGGAAGAUGUAACGGGGCUAAACCAUGCACCGAAGCUGCGGCAGCGACGCUGAUGCGUUGUUGGGUAGGGGAGCGUUCUGUAAGCCUGCGAAGGUGGCCUGUGAGGGUUGCUGGAGGUAUCAGAAGUGCGAAUGCUGACAUAAGUAACGAUAAAGCGGGUGAAAAGCCCGCUCGCCGGAAGACCAAGGGUUCCUGUCCAACGUUAAUCGGGGCAGGGUGAGUCGACCCCUAAGGCGAGGCCGAAAGGCGUAGUCGAUGGGAAACGGGUUAAUAUUCCCGUACUUGGUGUUACUGCGAAGGGGGGACGGAGAAGGCUAUGUUGGCCGGGCGACGGUUGUCCCGGUUUAAGCGUGUAGGUGUGUGUUCCAGGUAAAUCCGGUUCACUUUAACACUGAGGCGUGAUGACGAGGCACUACGGUGCUGAAGCAACAAAUGCCCUGCUUCCAGGAAAAGCCUCUAAGCAUCAGGUAACAUCAAAUCGUACCCCAAACCGACACAGGUGGUCAGGUAGAGAAUACCAAGGCGCUUGAGAGAACUCGGGUGAAGGAACUAGGCAAAAUGGUGCCGUAACUUCGGGAGAAGGCACGCUGACACGUAGGUGAAGUGAUUUACUCAUGGAGCUGAAGUCAGUCGAAGAUACCAGCUGGCUGCAACUGUUUAUUAAAAACACAGCACUGUGCAAACACGAAAGUGGACGUAUACGGUGUGACGCCUGCCCGGUGCCGGAAGGUUAAUUGAUGGGGUCAGCGCAAGCGAAGCUCCUGAUCGAAGCCCCGGUAAACGGCGGCCGUAACUAUAACGGUCCUAAGGUAGCGAAAUUCCUUGUCGGGUAAGUUCCGACCUGCACGAAUGGCGUAAUGAUGGCCAGGCUGUCUCCACCCGAGACUCAGUGAAAUUGAACUCGCUGUGAAGAUGCAGUGUACCCGCGGCAAGACGGAAAGACCCCGUGAACCUUUACUAUAGCUUGACACUGAACAUUGAGCCUUGAUGUGUAGGAUAGGUGGGAGGCUUUGAAGUGUGGACGCCAGUCUGCAUGGAGCCGACCUUGAAAUACCACCCUUUAAUGUUU
rnacentral:rRNA from 1 species